rnacentral:rRNA from 1 species
ACCUACAGCCAGACUGGACUGAGUGCACCUGAUCUUGGAAACUAAGCAGCUCUAGACCUGGCUAGUAUUUGUAUGGGGGACUGCCUGGAAAUCCCAGGUGUUGUAGGCA